rnacentral:rRNA from 1 species
AUGCCCGGUUCAACGGGUGACCAACUUCCCGAGCUGGUGCAACUGCUCGAACGUGUUUGGCAGGCGAUGAGUGGCGUCGUUCAGGCCUUAUGGCCUUCCAUCUCCCUACCUGAGGGCCUUGGAGGGCUUGCUGAGAAGCUUCAGGGAGUACGGCAACGUCUCCGUCUGUGGAAGAUAUCAGCCUGCCGUCAAGGCGCCAGGGAGGCCUGGGCCAUGGUGAAGACGCGGUACCCGAAGGCUGACCCAAACCACAUGGCCGAGGUCGGACCUGUGGGGCCUGAUGGGAAGGAGAUCCCUAUGAGCUUGAUGUACGACCAAGUAGAGCUGGCCGCAAAAUAUUUCCAACAGGACUGUAAAUUAGACAACCUGUUAGAUGGGAUUGAAAAGGAGUAUAAUUAG